AUAUUCAGGGUAGCAAUAUUCUGGAUGUUCAGCGGCGCAAGGGUGCGUAACACGUGGGUAAUCUGCCGUGAAGCCUGGAAUAACUCGCUGAAAGGCGAGCUAAUACCGGAUGUGACGUUUGGAAGGCAUCUUUUGAACUUCAAAGCUGGGGACCGUAAGGCCUGGCACUUCACGAUGAGCCCGCGGCCUAUCAGCUAGUUGGUGAGGUAAUGGCUCACCAAGGCUAAGACGGGUAGCUGGUCUGAGAGGACGACCAGCCACACUGGAACUGAGACACGGUCCAGACACCUACGGGUGGCAGCAGUCGAGAAUUUUUCACAAUGGGCGAAAGCCUGAUGGAGCGACGCCGCGUGGGGGAUGAAUGGCUUCGGCCCGUAAACCCCUGUCAUUUGCGAACAAGUUGUUUCACCUAACACGUGAAGCAUUGAUAGUAGCGAAAGAGGAAGGGACGGCUAACUCUGUGCCAGCAGCCGCGGUAAUACAGAGGUCCCAAGCGUUGUUCGGAUUCACUGGGCGUAAAGGGUGCGUAGGCGGUCGGGUAAGUCUGACGUGAAAUCUCCAAGCUCAACUUGGAAAUGGCGUCGGAUACUAUUCGGCUCGAGGAAUGGAGGGGAGACUGGAAUUCUCGGUGUAGCAGUGAAAUGCGUAGAUAUCGAGAGGAACACCAGUGGCGAAGGCGAGUCUCUGGACAUUUCCUGACGCUGAGGCACGAAAGCCAGGGGAGCAAACGGGAUUAGAUACCCCGGUAGUCCUGGCCCUAAACGGUGCACGUUCGCUGUAAGAGGAAUCGACCCCUUUUGUGGCGAAGCUAACGCGUUAAACGUG
rnacentral:rRNA from 1 species